CACACCGCCCGUCGCUCCUACCGAUUGAAAAUUCAGGUGAAAUAUCGGGAUUUUGGCGCUUGGGCGCAAGUCCUUGCGUCGAGAGAACUUUCUUGAAUCUUAAUUUUUAGAGGAAGGAGAAGUCGUAACAAGGUUUCCGUAGGUGAACCUGCGGAAGGAUCAUUA
rnacentral:rRNA from 2 species